CGUGCCAAGAUGGCGGCGCUGUUAGAAGACAGGGAGCUGCAGGGAAUCAGACAUCGUUUCCAGCUGCAGGCGGAGGCUCUGCUCCGGGAGACAAGGAGCAGGGAGCCCGUAGAUAUUUAUGAUGAUGAAAAGAAAAAGUAGAAGCCACUCCCCAGACUCAAUUUUCAUUCUGUGUUCUGGAUAUUGGCAGCUGCUUUACUCACGUACUAUGUUGAUUUUGUUUAAGAUACUUUGCAAGAAGGCUGUUGGUGGUUUUAGACUGGGACUUUUACGCUAGCUGCCAGUUUAUCCAUUGCAUUGUAUUGCAUUGUUUAUCUGGAAUGGCAUUGUGGGUUCAGUGAUUACGAGACAAGGUAUCCUGCAUUAGUUCCCAUCGCGAUAACUACUUUUAUAGCCA